AUUCCAGCUCCAAUAGCGUAUAUUAAUGUUGUUGCAGUUAAAAAGCUCGUAGUUGGAUUCCUGGCCUGGGGUAGCCGGUCCGCCUUGCAAAAGGUGCGCACUGAGCGGCCUCGGCCAUCCUUGGGAAGAGCAGUCCUGGCAUUCAGUUGUCGGGGUUGGGAUUCCCGACGUUUACUGUGAAAAAAUCAGAGUGUUCAACGCAGGCUUACGCCUUGAAUACAUUAGCAUGGAAUAAUGAGAUAGGACCUUGGCGGUCUAUUUUGUUGGUUUGCACGCCGAGGUAAUGAUUAAAAGGGAUAGUUGGGGGUAUUCAUAUUUAAUUGUCAGAGGCGAAAUUCUUGGAUUUAUGAAAGAUGAACUCAUGCGAAAGCAUUUACCAAGGAUGAUUUCAUCG
rnacentral:rRNA from 1 species